GGAGUUAGGGUUCAGUGUUGGAGCUAGAAAAAAUCCUGGGCUCCAGGCCCCUAGGAUUUUUCUAGCUCCAACCCUAACCAACUCCCUAACCUCUAGGACAUUCCUAAAAAAAUUUGAGUUUUUCCCAUAGGAAUGCAUGGGUUAGGGUUAGGGUUAGGGUUGGAGCUAGGGUUAGGGUUAGGGUUAGGGUUGGAGUUAGGGUUAGUGUUGGAGCUAGGGUUAGGGUUGGGCUUGGAGCUAGGAUUUUUCUGAGUGCACUGAACCAACUCCCGAGUCUCUAGGACAUUCCUAAAAAAAUUUGAUUUUUCCCAUAGGAAUGCAUGGGUUAGGGUUAUGGUUAGGGUUAGGGUUGGAGCUAGGGUUAGGGUUAGGGUUAGGGUUGGAGUUAGGGUUAGUGUUGGAGCUAGGGUUAGGGUUGGGCUUGGAGCUAGGAUUUUUCUGAGUGCACUGAACCAACUCCCGAGUCUCUAGGACAUUCCUAAAAAAAUUUGAUUUUUUCCCAUAGGAAUGCAUGGGUUAGGGUUAUGGUUAGGGUUAGGGUUGGAGCUAGGGUUAGGGUUAGGGUUAGGGUUGGAGUUAGGGUUAGUGUUGGAGCUAGGGUUAGGGUUGGGCUUGGAGCUAGGAUUUUUCUGAGUGCACUGAACCAACUCCCGAGUCUCUAGGACAUUCCUAAAAAAAUUUGAUUUUUUCCCAUAGGAAUGCAUGGGUUAGGGUUAUGGUUAGGGUUAGGGUUGGAGCUAGGGUUAGGGUUAGGGUUAGGGUUGGAGUUAGGGUUAGUGUUGGAGCUAGGGUUAGGGUUGGGCUUGGAGCUAGGAUUUUUCUGAGUGCACUGAACCAACUCCCGAGUCUCUAGGACAUUCCUAAAAAAAUUUGAUUUUUUCCCAUAGGAAUGCAUGGGUUAGGGUUAUGGUUAGGGUUAGGGUUGGAGCUAGGGUUAGGGUUAGGGUUAGGGUUGGAGUUAGGGUUAGUGUUGGAGCUAGGGUUAGGGUUGGGCUUGGAGCUAGGAUUUUUCUGAGUGCACUGAACCAACUCCCGAGUCUCUAGGACGUUCCUAAAAAAAUUUGAUUUUUUCCCAUAGGAAUGCAUGGGUUAGGGUUAGGGUUAGGGUUGGAGCUAGGGUUAGGGUUAGGGUUAGGGUUGGAGUUAGGGUUAGUGUUGGAGCUCAGGGUUGGGCUUGGAGCUAGGAUUUUUCUGAGUGCACUGAACCAACUCCCGAGUCUCUAGGACAUUCCUAAAAAAUUUGAUUUUUUCCCAUAGGAAUGCAUGGGUUAGGGUUAGGGUUAGGGUUGGAGCUAGGGUUAGGGUUAGGGUUAGGGUUGGAGUUAGGGUUAGUGUUGGAGCUAGGGUUAGGGUUGGGCUUGGAGCUAGGAUUUUUCUGAGUGCACUGAACCAACUCCCGAGUCUCUAGGACAUUCCUAAAAAAAUUUGAUUUUUUCCCAUAGGAAUGCAUGGGUUAGGGUUAUGGUUAGGGUUAGGGUUGGAGCUAGGGUUAGGGUUAGGGUUAGGGUUGGAGUUAGGGUUAGUGUUGGAGCUAGGGUUAGGGUUGGGCUUGGAGCUAGGAUUUUUCUGAGUGCACUGAACCAACUCCCGAGUCUCUAGGACAUUCCUAAAAAAUUUGAUUUUUUCCCAUAGGAAUGCAUGGGUUAGGGUUAUGGUUAGGGUUAGGGUUGGAGCUAGGGUUAGGGUUAGGGUUAGGGUUGGAGUUAGGGUUAGUGUUGGAGCUAGGGUUAGGGUUGGGCUUGGAGCUAGGAUUUUUCUGAGUGCACUGAACCAACUCCCGAGUCUCUAGGACAUUCCUAAAAAAAUUUGAUUUUUUCCCAUAGGAAUGCAUGGGUUAGGUUAUGGUUAGGGUUAGGGUUGGAGCUAGGGUUAGGGUUAGGGUUAGGGUUGGAGUUAGGGUUAGUGUUGGAGCUAGGGUUAGGGUUGGGCUUGGAGCUAGGAUUUUUCUGAGUGCACUGAACCAACUCCCGAGUCUCUAGGACAUUCCUAAAAAAAUUUGAUUUUUUCCCAUAGGAAUGCAUGGGUUAGGGUUAUGGUUAGGGUUAGGGUUGGAGCUAGGGUUAGGGUUAGGGUUAGGGUUGGAGUUAGGGUUAGUGUUGGAGCUAGGGUUAGGGUUGGGCUUGGAGCUAGGAUUUUUCUGAGUGCACUGAACCAACUCCCGAGUCUCUAGGACAUUCCUAAAAAAAUUUGAUUUUUUCCCAUAGGAAUGCAUGGGUUAGGGUUAGGGUUAGGGUUGGAGCUAGGGUUAGGGUUAGGGUUAGGGUUGGAGUUAGGGUUAGUGUUGGAGCUAGGGUUAGGGUUGGGCUUGGAGCUAGGAUUUUUCUGAGUGCACUGAACCAACUCCCGAGUCUCUAGGACAUUCCUAAAAAAAUUUGAUUUUUUCCCAUAGGAAUGCAUGGGUUAGGGUUAGGGUUAGGAGCUAGGGUUAGGGUUAGGGUUAGGGUUGGAGUUAGGGUUAGUGUUGGAGCUAGGGUUAGGGUUGGGCUUGGAGCUAGGAUUUUUCUGAGUGCACUGAACCAACUCCCGAGUCUCUAGGACAUUCCUAAAAAAUUUGAUUUUUUCCCAUAGGAAUGCAUGGGUUAGGGUUAUGGUUAGGGUUAGGGUUGGAGCUAGGGUUAGGGUUAGGGUUAGGGUUGGAGUUAGGGUUAGUGUUGGAGCUAGGGUUAGGGUUGGGCUUGGAGCUAGGAUUUUUCUGAGUGCACUGAACCAACUCCCGAGUCUCUAGGACAUUCCUAAAAAAAUUUGAUUUUUUCCCAUAGGAAUGCAUGGGUUAGGGUUAUGGUUAGGGUUAGGGUUGGAGCUAGGGUUAGGGUUAGGGUUAGGGUUGGAGUUAGGGUUAGUGUUGGAGCUAGGGUUAGGGUUGGGCUUGGAGCUAGGAUUUUUCUGAGUGCACUGAACCAACUCCCGAGUCUCUAGGACGUUCCUAAAAAAAUUUGAUUUUUUCCCAUAGGAAUGCAUGGGUUAGGGUUAGGGUUAGGGUUGGAGCUAGGGUUAGGGUUAGGGUUAGGGUUGGAGUUAGGGUUAGUGUUGGAGCUAGGGUUAGGGUUGGGCUUGGAGCUAGGAUUUUUCUGAGUGCACUGAACCAACUCCCGAGUCUCUAGGACAUUCCUAAAAAAAUUUGAUUUUUUCCCAUAGGAAUGCAUGGUUAGGGUUAUGGUUAGGGUUAGGGUUGGAGCUAGGGUUAGGGUUAGGGUUAGGGUUGGAGUUAGGGUUAGUGUUGGAGCUAGGGUUAGGGUUGGGCUUGGAGCUAGGAUUUUUCUGAGUGCACUGAACCAACUCCCGAGUCUCUAGGACAUUCCUAAAAAAAUUUGAUUUUUUCCCAUAGGAAUGCAUGGGUUAGGGUUAGGGUUAGGGUUGGAGCUAGGGUUAGGGUUAGGGUUAGGGUUGGAGUUAGGGUUAGUGUUGGAGCUAGGGUUAGGGUUGGGCUUGGAGCUAGGAUUUUUCUGAGUGCACUGAACCAACUCCCGAGUCUCUAGGACAUUCCUAAAAAAAUUUGAUUUUUUCCCAUAGGAAUGCAUGGGUUAGGGUUAUGGUUAGGGUUAGGGUUGGAGCUAGGGUUAGGGUUAGGGUUAGGGUUGGAGUUAGGGUUAGUGUUGGAGCUAGGGUUAGGGUUGGGCUUGGAGCUAGGAUUUUUCUGAGUGCACUGAACCAACUCCCGAGUCUCUAGGACAUUCCUAAAAAAAUUUGAUUAUUUCCCAUAGGAAUGCAUGGGUUAGGGUUAGGGUUAGGGUUGGAGCUAGGGUUAGGGUUAGGGUUAGGGUUGGAGUUAGGGUUAGUGUUGGAGCUAGGGUUAGGGUUGGGCUUGGAGCUAGGAUUUUUCUGAGUGCACUGAACCAACUCCCGAGUCUCUAGGAUGUUCCUAAAAAAAUUUGAUUUUUUCCCAUAGGAAUGCAUGGGUUAGGGUUAUGGUUAGGGUUAGGGUUGGAGCUAGGGUUAGGGUUAGGGUUGGAGUUAGGGUUAGUGUUGGAGCUAGGGUUAGGGUUGGGCUUGGAGCUAGGAUUUUUCUGAGUGCAAUGAACCAACUCCCGAGUCUCUAGGACGUUCCUAAAAAAUUUGAUUUUUUCCCAUAGGAAUGCAUGGGUUAGGGUUAGGGUUAGGGUUGGAGCUUGGGUUAGGGUUAGGGUUAGGGUUGGAGUUAGGGUUAGUGUUGGAGCUAGGGUUAGGGUUGGGCUUGGAGCUAGGAUUUUUCUGAGUGCACUGAACCAACUCCCGAGUCUCUAGGACGUUCCUAAAAAAAUUUGAUUUUUUCCCAUAGGAAUGCAUGGGUUAGGGUUAGGGUUAGGGUUGGAGCUAGGGUUAGGGUUAGGGUUAGGGUUGGAGUUAGGGUUAGUGUUGGAGCUAGGGUUAGGGUUGGGCUUGGAGCUAGGAUUUUUCUGAGUGCACUGAACCAACUCCCGAGUCUCUAGGACAUUCCUAAAAAAAUUUGAUUUUUUCCCAUAGGAAUGCAUGGGUUAGGGUUAGGGUUAGGGUUGGAGCUAGGGUUAGGGUUAGGGUUAGGGUUGGAGUUAGGGUUAGUGUUGGAGCUAGGGUUAGGGUUGGGCUUGGAGCUAGGAUUUUUCUGAGUGCACUGAACCAACUCCCGAGUCUCUAGGACAUUCCUAAAAAAAUUUGAUUUUUUCCCAUAGGAAUGCAUGGGUUAGGGUUAUGGUUAGGGUUAGGGUUGGAGCUAGGGUUAGGGUUAGGGUUAGGGUUAGGGUUAGGGUUAGUUAGGUUAGUGUUGGAGCUAGGGUUAGGGUUGGGCUUGGAGCUAGGAUUUUUCUGAGUGCACUGAACCAACUCCCGAGUCUCUAGGACAUUCCUAAAAAAAUUUGAUUUUUUCCCAUAGGAAUGCAUGGGUUAGGGUUAGGGUUAGGGUUGGAGCUAGGGUUAGGGUUAGGGUUAGGGUUGGAGUUAGGGUUAGUGUUGGAGCUAGGGUUAGGGUUGGGCUUGGAGCUAGGAUUUUUCUGAGUGCACUGAACCAACUCCCGAGUCUCUAGGACGUUCCUAAAAAAAUUUGAUUUUUUCCCAUAGGAAUGCAUGGGUUAGGGUUAUGGUUAGGGUUAGGGUUGGAGCUAGGGUUAGGGUUAGGGUUAGGGUUGGAGUUAGGGUUAGUGUUGGAGCUAGGGUUAGGGUUGGGCUUGGAGCUAGGAUUUUUCUGAGUGCACUGAACCAACUCCCGAGUCUCUAGGACGUUCCUAAAAAAAUUUGAUUUUUUCCCAUAGGAAUGCAUGGGUUAGGGUUAGGGUUAGGGUUGGAGCUAGGGUUAGGGUUAGGGUUAGGGUUGGAGUUAGGGUUAGUGUUGGAGCUAGGGUUAGGGUUGGGCUUGGAGCUAGGAUUUUUCUGAGUGCACUGAACCAACUCCCGAGUCUCUAGGACGUUCCUAAAAAAAUUUGAUUUUUUCCCAUAGGAAUGCAUGGGUUAGGGUUAGGGUUAGGGUUGGAGCUAGGGUUAGGGUUAGGGUUAGGGUUGGAGUUAGGGUUAGUGUUGGAGCUAGGGUUAGGGUUGGGCUUGGAGCUAGGAUUUUUCUGAGUGCACUGAACCAACUCCCGAGUCUCUAGGACGUUCCUAAAAAAAUUUGAUUUUUUCCCAUAGGAAUGCAUGGGUUAGGGUUAGGGUUAGGGUUGGAGCUAGGGUUAGGGUUAGGGUUAGGGUUGGAGUUAGGGUUAGUGUUGGAGCUAGGGUUAGGGUUGGGCUUGGAGCUAGGAUUUUUCUGAGUGCACUGAACCAACUCCCGAGUCUCUAGGACAUUCCUAAAAAAAUUUGAUUUUUUCCCAUAGGAAUGCAUGGUUUAGGGUUAUGGUUAGGGUUAGGGUUGGAGCUAGGGUUAGGGUUAGGGUUAGGGUUGGAGUUAGGGUUAGUGUUGGAGCUAGGGUUAGGGUUGGGCUUGGAGCUAGGAUUUUUCUGAGUGCAAUGAACCAACUCCCGAGUCUCUAGGACAUUCCUAAAAAAAUUUGAUUUUUUCCCAUAGGAAUGCAUGGGUUAGGGUUAGGGUUAGGGUUGGAGCUAGGGUUAGGGUUAGGGUUAGGGUUGGAGUUAGGGUUAGUGUUGGAGCUAGGGUUAGGGUUGGGCUUGGAGCUAGGAUUUUUCUGAGUGCACUGAACCAACUCCCGAGUCUCUAGGACAUUCCUAAAAAAAUUUGAUUUUUUCCCAUAGGAAUGCAUGGGUUAGGGUUAUGGUUAGGGUUAGGGUUGGAGCUAGGGUUAGGGUUAGGGUUAGGGUUGGAGUUAGGGUUAGUGUUGGAGCUAGGGUUAGGGUUGGGCUUGGAGCUAGGAUUUUUCUGAGUGCACUGAACCAACUCCCGAGUCUCUAGGACAUUCCUAAAAAAUUUGAUUUUUUCCCAUAGGAAUGCAUGGGUUAGGGUUAGGGUUAGGGAUUGGAGCUAGGGUUAGGGUUGGGCUUGGAGCUAGGAUUUUUCUGAGUGCACUGAACCAACUCCCGAGUCUCUAGGACGUUCCUAAAAAAAUUUGAUUUUUUCCCAUAGGAAUGCAUGGGUUAGGGUUAUGGUUAGGGUUAGGGUUGGAGCUAGGGUUAGGGUUAGGGUUAGGGUUGGAGUUAGGGUUAGUGUUGGAGCUAGGGUUAGGGUUGGGCUUGGAGCUAGGAUUUUUCUGAGUGCAAUGAACCAACUCCCGAGUCUCUAGGACGUUCCUAAAAAAAUUUGAUUUUUUCCCAUAGGAAUGCAUGGGUUAGGGUUAGGGUUAGGGUUGGAGCUAGGGUUAGGGUUAGGGUUAGGGUUGGAGUUAGGGUUAGUGUUGGAGCUAGGGUUAGGGUUGGGCUUGGAGCUAGGAUUUUUCUGAGUGCACUGAACCAACUCCCGAGUCUCUAGGACAUUCCUAAAAAAUUUGAUUUUUUCCCAUAGGAAUGCAUGGUUAGGGUUAUGGUUAGGGUUAGGGUUGGAGCUAGGGUUAGGGUUAGGGUUAGGGUUGGAGUUAGGGUUAGUGUUGGAGCUAAGGGUUAGGGUUGGGCUUGGAGCUAGGAUUUUUCUGAGUGCAAUGAACCAACUCCCGAGUCUCUAGGACGUUCCCUAAAAAAAUUUGAUUUUUUCCCAUAGGAAUGCAUGGGUUAGGGUUAGGGUUAGGGUUGGAGCUAGGGUUAGGGUUAGGGUUAGGGUUGGAGUUAGGGUUAGUGUUGGAGCUAGGGUUAGGGUUGGGCUUGGAGCUAGGAUUUUUCUGAGUGCACUGAACCAACUCCCGAGUCUCUAGGACAUUCCUAAAAAAAUUUGAUUUUUUCCCAUAGGAAUGCAUGGGUUAGGGUUAUGGUUAGGGUUAGGGUUGGAGCUAGGGUUAGGGUUAGGGUUAGGGUUGGAGUUAGGGUUAGUGUUGGAGCUAGGGUUAGGGUUGGGCUUGGAGCUAGGAUUUUUCUGAGUGCACUGAACCAACUCCCGAGUCUCUAGGACAUUCCUAAAAAAAUUUGAUUUUUUCCCAUAGGAAUGCAUGGGUUAGGGUUAUGGUUAGGGUUAGGGUUGGAGCUAGGGUUAGGGUUAGGGUUAGGGUUGGAGUUAGGGUUAGUGUUGGAGCUAGGGUUAGGGUUGGGCUUGGAGCUAGGAUUUUUCUGAGUGCACUGAACCAACUCCCGAGUCUCUAGGACGUUCCUAAAAAAAUUUGAUUUUUUCCCAUAGGAAUGCAUGGGUUAGGGUUAGGGUUAGGGUUGGAGCUAGGGUUAGGGUAGGGUUAGGGUUAGGGUUGGAGUUAGGGUUAGUGUUGGAGCUAGGGUUAGGGUUGGGCUUGGAGCUAGGAUUUUUCUGAGUGCACUGAACCAACUCCCGAGUCUCUAGGACAUUCCUAAAAAAAUUUGAUUUUUUCCCAUAGGAAUGCAUGGGUUAGGGUUAGGGUUAGGGUUGGAGCUAGGGUUAGGGUUAGGGUUAGGGUUGGAGUUAGGGUUAGUGUUGGAGCUAGGGUUAGGGUUGGGCUUGGAGCUAGGAUUUUUCUGAGUGCACUGAACCAACUCCCGAGUCUCUAGGACGUUCCUAAAAAAAUUUGAUUUUUUCCCAUAGGAAUGCAUGGGUUAGGGUUAGGGUUAGGGUUGGAGCUAGGGUUAGGGUUAGGGUUAGGGUUGGAGUUAGGGUUAGUGUUGGAGCUAGGGUUAGGGUUGGGCUUGGAGCUAGGAUUUUUCUGAGUGCACUGAACCAACUCCCGAGUCUCUAGGACAUUCCUAAAAAAUUUGAUUUUUUCCCAUAGGAAUGCAUGGGUUAGGGUUAGGGAUAGGGUUGGAGCUAGGGUUAGGGUUAGGGUUAGGGUUAGGGUUGGAGCUAGGGUUAGGGUUAGGGUUAGGGUUGGAGUUAGGGUUAGUGUUGGAGCUAGGGUUAGGGUUGGGCUUGGAGCUAGGAUUUUUCUGAGUGCAAUGAACCAACUCCCGAGUCUCUAGGACGUUCCUAAAAAAAUUUGAUUUUUUCCCAUAGGAAUGCAUGGGUUAGGGUUAGGGUUAGGGUUGGAGCUAGGGUUAGGGUUAGGGUUAGGGUUGGAGUUAGGGUUAGUGUUGGAGCUAGGGUUAGGGUUGGGCUUGGAGCUAGGAUUUGUCUGAGUGCACUGAACCAACUCCCGAGUCUCUAGGACAUUCCUAAAAAAAUUUGAUUUUUUCCCAUAGGAAUGCAUGGGUUAGGGUUAUGGUUAGGGUUAGGGUUGGAGCUAGGGUUAGGGUUAGGGUUAGGGUUGGAGUUAGGGUUAGUGUUGGAGCUAGGGUUAGGGUUGGGCUUGGAGCUAGGAUUUUUCUGAGUGCACUGAACCAACUCCCGAGUCUCUAGGACGUUCCUAAAAAAAUUUGAUUUUUUCCCAUAGGAAUGCAUGGGUUAGGGUUAGGGUUAGGGUUGGAGCUAGGGUUAGGGUUAGGGUUAGGGUUGGAGUUAGGGUUAGUGUUGGAGCUAGGGUUAGGGUUGGGCUUGGAGCUAGGAUUUUUCUGAGUGCACUGAACCAACUCCCGAGUCUCUAGGACAUUCCUAAAAAAAUUUGAUUUUUUCCCAUAGGAAUGCAUGGGUUAGGGUUAUGGGUUAGGGUUAGGGUUGGAGCUAGGGUUAGGGUUAGGGUUAGGGUUGGAGUUAGGGUUAGUGUUGGAGCUAGGGUUAGGGUUGGGCUUGGAGCUAGGAUUUUUCUGAGUGCACUGAACCAACUCCCGAGUCUCUAGGACAUUCCUAAAAAAAUUUGAUUUUUUCCCAUAGGAAUGCAUGGGUUAGGGUUAGGGUUAGGGUUGGAGCUAGGGUUAGGGUUAGGGUUAGGGUUGGAGUUAGGGUUAGUGUUGGAGCUAGGGUUAGGGUUGGGCUUGGAGCUAGGAUUUUUCUGAGUGCACUGAACCAACUCCCGAGUCUCUAGGACAUUCCUAAAAAAAUUUGAUUUUUUCCCAUAGGAAUGCAUGGGUUAGGGUUAGGGUUAGGGUUGGAGCUAGGGUUAGGGUUAGGGUUAGGGUUGGAGUUAGGGUUAGUGUUGGAGCUAGGGUUAGGGUUGGGCUUGGAGCUAGGAUUUUUCUGAGUGCACUGAACCAACUCCCGAGUCUCUAGGACAUUCCUAAAAAAAUUUGAUUUUUUCCCAUAGGAAUGCAUGGGUUAGGGUUAUGGUUAGGGUUAGGGUUGGAGCUAGGGUUAGGGUUAGGGUUAGGGUUGGAGUUAGGGUUAGUGUUGGAGCUAGGGUUAGGGUUGGGCUUGGAGCUAGGAUUUUUCUGAGUGCACUGAACCAACUCCCGAGUCUCUAGGACAUUCCUAAAAAAAUUUGAUUUUUUCCCAUAGGAAUGCAUGGGUUAGGGUUAUGGUUAGGGUUAGGGUUGGAGCUAGGGUUAGGGUUAGGGUUAGGGUUGGAGUUAGGGUUAGUGUUGGAGCUAGGGUUAGGGUUGGGCUUGGAGCUAGGAUUUUUCUGAGUGCACUGAACCAACUCCCGAGUCUCUAGGACAUUCCUAAAAAAAUUUGAUUUUUUCCCAUAGGAAUGCAUGGGUUAGGGUUAUGGUUAGGGUUAGGGUUGGAGCUAGGGUUAGGGUUAGGGUUAGGGUUGGAGUUAGGGUUAGUGUUGGAGCUAGGGUUAGGGUUGGGCUUGGAGCUAGGAUUUUUCUGAGUGCACUGAACCAACUCCCGAGUCUCUAGGACAUUCCUAAAAAAAUUUGAUUUUUUCCCAUAGGAAUGCAUGGGUUAGGGUUAUGGUUAGGGUUAGGGUUGGAGCUAGGGUUAGGGUUAGGGUUAGGGUUGGAGUUAGGGUUAGUGUUGGAGCUAGGGUUAGGGUUGGGCUUGGAGCUAGGAUUUUUCUGAGUGCACUGAACCAACUCCCGAGUCUCUAGGACAUUCCUAAAAAAAUUUGAUUUUUUCCCAUAGGAAUGCAUGGGUUAGGGUUAGGGGGUUAGGGUUGGAGCUAGGGUUAGGGUUAGGGUUAGGGUUGGAGUUAGGGUUAGUGUUGGAGCUAGGGUUAGGGUUGGGCUUGGAGCUAGGAUUUUUCUGAGUGCACUGAACCAACUCCCGAGUCUCUAGGACAUUCCUAAAAAAAUUUGAUUUUUUCCCAUAGGAAUGCAUGGGUUAGGGUUAUGGUUAGGGUUAGGGUUGGAGCUAGGGUUAGGGUUAGGGUUAGGGUUGGAGUUAGGGUUAGUGUUGGAGCUAGGGUUAGGGUUGGGCUUGGAGCUAGGAUUUUUCUGAGUGCACUGAACCAACUCCCGAGUCUCUAGGACAUUCCUAAAAAAAUUUGAUUUUUUCCCAUAGGAAUGCAUGGGUUAGGGUUAUGGUUAGGGUUAGGGUUGGAGCUAGGGUUAGGGUUAGGGUUAGGGUUGGAGUUAGGGUUAGUGUUGGAGCUAGGGUUAGGGUUGGGCUUGGAGCUAGGAUUUUUCUGAGUGCACUGAACCAACUCCCGAGUCUCUAGGACAUUCCUAAAAAAAUUUGAUUUUUUCCCAUAGGAAUGCAUGGGUUAGGGUUAGGUUAGGGUUAGGGUUGGAGCUAGGGUUAGGGUUAGGGUUAGGGUUGGAGUUAGGGUUAGUGUUGGAGCUAGGGUUAGGGUUGGGCUUGGAGCUAGGAUUUUUCUGAGUGCACUGAACCAACUCCCGAGUCUCUAGGACAUUCCUAAAAAAAUUUGAUUUUUUCCCAUAGGAAUGCAUGGGUUAGGGUUAUGGUUAGGGUUAGGGUUGGAGCUAGGGUUAGGGUUAGGGUUAGGGUUGGAGUUAGGGUUAGUGUUGGAGCUAGGGUUAGGGUUGGGCUUGGAGCUAGGAUUUUUCUGAGUGCACUGAACCAACUCCCGAGUCUCUAGGACGUUCCUAAAAAAAUUUGUUUUUUUCCCAUAGGAAUGCAUGGGUUAGGGUUAGGGUUAGGGUUGGAGCUAGGGUUAGGGUUAGGGUUAGGGUUGGAGUUAGGGUUAGUGUUGGAGCUAGGGUUAGGGUUGGGCUUGGAGCUAGGAUUUUUCUGAGUGCACUGAACCAACUCCCGAGUCUCUAGGACAUUCCUAAAAAAAUUUGAUUUUUUCCCAUAGGAAUGCAUGGGUUAGGGUUAUGGUUAGGGUUAGGGUUGGAGCUAGGGUUAGGGUUAGGGUUAGGGUUGGAGUUAGGGUUAGUGUUGGAGCUAGGGUUAGGGUUGGGCUUGGAGCUAGGAUUUUUCUGAGUGCACUGAACCAACUCCCGAGUCUCUAGGACAUUCCUAAAAAAAUUUGAUUUUUUCCCAUAGGAAUGCAUGGGUUAGGGUUAUGGUUAGGGUUAGGGUUGGAGCUAGGGUUAGGGUUAGGGUUAGGGUUGGAGUUAGGGUUAGUGUUGGAGCUAGGGUUAGGGUUGGGCUUGGAGCUAGGAUUUUUCUGAGUGCACUGAACCAACUCCCGAGUCUCUAGGACAUUCCUAAAAAAAUUUGAUUUUUUCCCAUAGGAAUGCAUGGGUUAGGGUUAUGGUUAGGGUUAGGGUUGGAGCUAGGGUUAGGGUUAGGGUUAGGGUUGGAGUUAGGGUUAGUGUUGGAGCUAGGGUUAGGGUUGGGCUUGGAGCUAGGAUUUUUCUGAGUGCACUGAACCAACUCCCGAGUCUCUAGGACAUUCCUAAAAAAAUUUGAUUUUUUCCCAUAGGAAUGCAUGGGUUAGGGUUAUGGUUAGGGUUAGGGUUGGAGCUAGGGUUAGGGUUAGGGUUAGGGUUGGAGUUAGGGUUAGUGUUGGAGCUAGGGUUAGGGUUGGGCUUGGAGCUAGGAUUUUUCUGAGUGCACUGAACCAACUCCCGAGUCUCUAGGACGUUCCUAAAAAAAUUUGAUUUUUUCCCAUAGGAAUGCAUGGGUUAGGGUUAGGGUUAGGGUUGGAGCUAGGGUUAGGGUUAGGGUUAGGGUUGGAGUUAGGGUUAGUGUUGGAGCUAGGGUUAGGGUUGGGCUUGGAGCUAGGAUUUUUCUGAGUGCACUGAACCAACUCCCGAGUCUCUAGGACAUUCCUAAAAAAAUUUGAUUUUUUCCCAUAGGAAUGCAUGGGUUAGGGUUAGGGUUAGGGUUGGAGCUAGGGUUAGGGUUAGGGUUAGGGUUGGAGUUAGGGUUAGUGUUGGAGCUAGGGUUAGGGUUGGGCUUGGAGCUAGGAUUUUUCUGAGUGCACUGAACCAACUCCCGAGUCUCUAGGACAUUCCUAAAAAAAUUUGAUUUUUUCCCAUAGGAAUGCAUGGGUUAGGGUUAUGGUUAGGGUUAGGGUUGGAGCUAGGGUUAGGGUUAGGGUUAGGGUUGGAGUUAGGGUUAGUGUUGGAGCUAGGGUUAGGGUUGGGCUUGGAGCUAGGAUUUUUCUGAGUGCACUGAACCAACUCCCGAGUCUCUAGGACAUUCCUAAAAAAAUUUGAUUUUUUCCCAUAGGAAUGCAUGGGUUAGGGUUAUGGUUAGGGUUAGGGUUGGAGCUAGGGUUAGGGUUAGGGUUAGGGUUGGAGUUAGGGUUAGUGUUGGAGCUAGGGUUAGGGUUGGGCUUGGAGCUAGGAUUUUUCUGAGUGCACUGAACCAACUCCCGAGUCUCUAGGACAUUCCUAAAAAAAUUUGAUUUUUUCCCAUAGGAAUGCAUGGGUUAGGGUUAGGGUUAGGGUUAGGGUUGGAGCUAGGGUUAGGGUUAGGGUUAGGGUUGGAGUUAGGGUUAGUGUUGGAGCUAGGGUUAGGGUUGGGCUUGGAGCUAGGAUUUUUCUGAGUGCACUGAACCAACUCCCGAGUCUCUAGGACAUUCCUAAAAAAAUUUGAUUUUUUCCCAUAGGAAUGCAUGGGUUAGGGUUAGGUUAGGGUUAGGGUUGGAGCUAGGGUUAGGGUUAGGGUUAGGGUUGGAGUUAGGGUUAGUGUUGGAGCUAGGGUUAGGGUUGGGCUUGGAGCUAGGAUUUUUCUGAGUGCACUGAACCAACUCCCGAGUCUCUAGGACAUUCCUAAAAAAAUUUGAUUUUUUCCCAUAGGAAUGCAUGGGUUAGGGUUAUGGUUAGGGUUAGGGUUGGAGCUAGGGUUAGGGUUAGGGUUAGGGUUGGAGUUAGGGUUAGUGUUGGAGCUAGGGUUAGGGUUGGGCUUGGAGCUAGGAUUUUUCUGAGUGCACUGAACCAACUCCCGAGUCUCUAGGACAUUCCUAAAAAAAUUUGAUUUUUUCCCAUAGGAAUGCAUGGGUUAGGGUUAGGGGUUAGGGUUGGAGCUAGGGUUAGGGUUAGGGUUAGGGUUGGAGUUAGGGUUAGUGUUGGAGCUAGGGUUAGGGUUGGGCUUGGAGCUAGGAUUUUUCUGAGUGCACUGAACCAACUCCCGAGUCUCUAGGACAUUCCUAAAAAAAUUUGAUUUUUUCCCAUAGGAAUGCAUGGGUUAGGGUUAUGGUUAGGGUUAGGGUUGGAGCUAGGGUUAGGGUUAGGGUUAGGGUUGGAGUUAGGGUUAGUGUUGGAGCUAGGGUUAGGGUUGGGCUUGGAGCUAGGAUUUUUCUGAGUGCACUGAACCAACUCCCGAGUCUCUAGGACAUUCCUAAAAAAAUUUGAUUUUUUCCCAUAGGAAUGCAUGGGUUAGGGUUAUGGUUAGGGUUAGGGUUGGAGCUAGGGUUAGGGUUAGGGUUAGGGUUGGAGUUAGGGUUAGUGUUGGAGCUAGGGUUAGGGUUGGGCUUGGAGCUAGGAUUUUUCUGAGUGCACUGAACCAACUCCCGAGUCUCUAGGACAUUCCUAAAAAAUUUGAUUUUUUCCCAUAGGAAUGCAUGGGUUAGGGUUAUGGUUAGGGUUAGGGUUGGAGCUAGGGUUAGGGUUAGGGUUAGGGUUGGAGUUAGGGUUAGUGUUGGAGCUAGGGUUAGGGUUGGGCUUGGAGCUAGGAUUUUUCUGA
rnacentral:lncRNA from 1 species